CUUGGUUUCAUAGGAUCUUGAGCUCAGAAAAUGUAUCUCCUGGAUCUCUGCAGUUUCUCUGACAUACACAAGAUGUAAUCCACAGCAUCUUCCAUUUAAAUGACCCUUCAUUUGGGCAGUCAAACUGAAUGGAGGAUCUGGCAAUCGCACAUAGAACUGAGGGAGAGGAAGCAGAAACAGAGAUACCUGGAAGGUAGACAACAGUUUAAAGACCUCAGCGCAGGAAGCAGAUUAAAAGCUUGGUGCCCAUCUGCAAUAAAUAAAGGCAGGUUAGAUCAUUGUAUUACCAAUGGCCCCACUUAAAGGUAAGCCAAGAGCUGCAGUUCAGGGAUUUGCUAAACAUUCAUUGAAAGGCAGGAAAACUAGAAGAGAUUUCUAAAGUGAAAAUUUAGUGUUUGGUGAGCAGUGAGAAAAGCAUGGGGGCAUUACAUCAUGCAUGCUUCCUGACAAGCAAAAAGCAGAUUCCAGCCACAGACCAUCUGGAAUUAAGCAUAUAAAUUACUGUCUUAUAUAUAUCUUAAAGUGUGUGUCAUUGUGCUUAAUUUUAAAAGCCAAACUCCUGGCCCAUAAACACCAUUUCAGAGUUAAGUGGAGGAGAGAUAUUAAACUGAACCUGUGCUUCCUUUGAAACAUGUCUAGGCCUCUAUCUUAAUCACCAGAGAGCACUUGGGAGAUUUUCAUUUCUGUAAUGAAGCCCUAACCACUAGGAAUGACCAUCUGACGUCUUCUCCAACUAGGUUCCAGGUGAAUCCACUGAAACAGCUCUUAACUUCACAAAUGAGACCAGCUUGACCUUGACUCAAAGGCCGUCAUUUACAAGAGGACAACUGCUACUCUCACCAGGGAGUUUCACAUGCGAGUUCUAAGAAUGCACAUUGAGUCAUUCAAAUCGAAUCCAGAAAAAUUGUUACACAUUUUGAAAAAAAUAAUUUGGCUCAAAAUUUCAAAAGUUUCAGAGCAUUGGUAUCAUGUUGUUAGCUGAAUAUGUAGAGUAAAUGCCAAUUCACCACAACCUGUUGAAUUUUUUUUCCAGUUAUAAUUGGAGUCCCAGAGGAUGUUCCUUUAAGGGUCUUUUAAGUAUCUAAAACUCAUUUCUCUGAUUGUAGUUGUUUUUAAUUAACUAUCCAUAUAAUAAGUGAACUUAGGAGUUUUUAACAUAUAUUAAAUACUCCAUAUUCCCACGGCAUUCAUUUACUAAGCUCUAAAUUCCAAGAAAAAAGCAUUCUUGAUUUCUGGAUUCAAACACAGAUGUGAAUGAUAGCCAGGGAGCAACAUAGGCCCUUUUCAGUCUUUCUUCACCUGUGCUUCGUUUGCUGGUGUUUUUGAAACUCCUGUCCCCCGAAUAAAAUGCUAACUUAGAGCAGACCAAACCGCAAGGUGUAGGAAUAUACUGACACCAGCUGUAAAUGGACAGGUGCUCAAGUAACCCAGAAUCCCAUCACAGGCUUCUGCCCACACACAUACCUGGGCAACCUACUUACUGUUAAUUGUUACUGUAAAUGUGUAAUUGUUAAGCUUCAUUUUCAGAGUGAAUGAAAGGGUAAUUUUGUAAAUAUUUCUAAAAACAGAAAAUGGAUACAAGUUCAAAACAUAAACAAAUGUUUUCAAUCA